CAUAUGUGUGUGUGUGGGAGAGAGUAAAAACGAGGAGGACUGUUUUAGCAAAUAUUCGCAAUCGUUAAAUUUCCUGGAACAACUCGGUACGUGUUAAUAGAAAGGGAGGCUUAUCUUUUUCCAACCGGUUGUUAACGAGUCUCCUCGUAUCUGACGCUUGAACGGGGCGAUUCUGGGCACGGUUGAUGACGAAAAAAGGCGAAAUAAAAUAAUAUCCCCCUUAAUAAUGGCUCGAGUGAAAUGGCAACGGUCGGUCGGGAGACGAAUUGAGCCUUGCCCUUUGCCACUCUCUCGCGUUCCAAUCUUUGUCCUCGGGAGCCGACAAAUUUUGUUCCUUCGGAACAAUACGAGCAAUACAAUCCGUGGAUUUUCAGUUCAUCGUUCAAAAAUCGAUCUCUAUCAAUAAUUUUAUCGAUUCUUCCUCGUGAAGCUUAAUUUGAAAAGAUACCUCGUCUUAUUCGUAUUUUUUUAGAGAAAUAAUUCUCUAUUGGAAUGAAAGA